AGCGGGAAGAGCUCAAAUUUGAAAGCUGGUACCUUUGGUGCCCGCGUUGUAAUCUCGAGACGCGUUUUCCGCGCGGCGCUAUGGACAAGUUCCUUGGAACAGGACAUCGUAGAGGGUGAAAAUCCCGUACUUGCCAUGGAUGCACCGUGCUUUGUGAUACGUGCUCAAAGAGUCGAGUUGUUUGGGAUUGCAGCUCAAAAUGGGUGGUAGACUCCAUCUAAAGCUAAAUAUCGGGGAGAGACCGAUAGCGAACAAGUACCGUGAGGGAAAGAUGAAAAGCACUUUGGAAAGAGAGUUAAAAGUACGUGAAAUUGUCGAAAGGGAAGCGCUUGAAGUCAGCCAUGCCGCUCAGGACUCAGCCUGGCUUUUGCUUGGUGUACUUCCUGGGUAGCAAGUCAGCAUUGGUUUGGACCGUCGGAGAAGCAUGGCAGGAAUGUGACGCCCUCGGGCGUGUUAUAGCCUGCCAUUGGAUACGCCGGUCUAGACCAAGGAACGCAGUGCGC
rnacentral:rRNA from 1 species